GUACUUUCAGGCAGUACAUCAACUAAAAUUGAGGCGAUACAGAGAAGAUUAGCAUGGCCCCUGCAAGGAUGACCCUAAAAAACGUGGGCGCUCCUUUUUCUUU